GGGCGAUUAACUCAAUGGUAGAGUGUCAUCUUGACGUGGUGAAAGUUACAGGUUCGAGCCCUGUAUCGCCCACCA
rnacentral:tRNA from 1 species